rnacentral:misc_RNA from 1 species
GUGUGUAUGCGAGGGAGUAAGUGGGAAAGAGCAAGAGCAGGCGUGAGAGCAGAGCACCCCUCCUAAUGUCGCUAGACAAGCACCGCGAAUCCUCUCUACGCCCUAGCCUUCUCCCUCCCGCCGCAUGAAUGGGAGCGAGCGUAGGUUUUGAGCACGAUCAUGCACUGCACUCAAUAGAUUUUCGCUCUAAAGCUCUUCGCUCUCGCUCAACUAGUUUCGUGAGUAGUUUCUGUGUGGUUUCUAUUUGAGCGCUUUCUCUAUCUCUCCGAUACUCUCCUAUUCGUGUAUCUAGCGCUCUCGAGUGCUGGAAAACUAGCAAUGUAAGUUUUCGAGCUGAGUCGCGCUGCUCGGCAAAAUAGUUUCGUCGCUAGAUCACGGUGCGGCAUUUUCCAGCGCCGUUUAGUUUUGAGUGUGACUCGUCGGGCUUUGGAUCUGUUCCGCGGACAUGGACGUCCCAUGUCCCAUAUGGACUCCUUCUCGUUGGAGUUCCUUUUUAGUCUUUUGUUUUAUGCCUGUGCCUGUGCCUGUGCUUGUGAUUGUGGCCGGUACCCCCACCCCACCCCAUCCGAAGGGGAAGGGGAAGUGGGUGAUUUGUGUUUUUUUCGAGCGCGUUUGCUGUCGUCAUCGGCUGCGUCGCCGCUGCUGCAGCCGUUGCUCGGGGCUUUGAACUGUGGCUGGCGCGUUCAACGGCUUCUCCGCCUGUCGUCGGGAAGCGUGUAACUCCGAAACGAACCGUUCCGUUCGUUCCAUUAUCGCUCGAGCGAGCGAGCCGCCUGAUAGCCGUCGUCCCCCUGGUCGCCCGCUUCCAAUCAGUCAAUUGUCGUCCCUCUCCUCCUCCCCCUCCCCCUCCCCGUCUCCCACUAAUGAACAUUGAACUGCAAAUUGCAAAAACGUACCAAAAUAACAAACAAACGACGUUGUCGCUGACUGCUCUAGCGGGACUACCUCCUCUUCGCGCUCGUCUGAUUGCUCGUGGGGAUGGGGUACAUUAACCUUGCGUCCAAAACUCUCUGCUGCUGCUACUCCCACUCGUCUCGCUAUCGAUGUCUUCUAUCUGUCAGAGAUCACUAUCCAGCCCCCAGCCCCCCACACCCAAUCUGGCUGAGGUCCCCCCACGGUAGGAGAGACGGUCCAGUGCAGUGGAGCUAGUACCGCGGUUAAUGGCUGCCGCGGACUGCGGCAGGACCACAGAAAAGAAGGACUGAUGCUUUUGGCUAAAGCAUGCUACGGAUCUGGCGAUUAGCAUAAGGAUAAACGUGCAUUGAAAUGGGGUAUCAAUUUCGUUAAAUCUACGAUCGGUGGAUUCAGUCAGCUUCGUGGCGGAACACCAUCUGCCAGAUCGGCAGCUUUCGACCGAUAUAAUGCUAAAAGUUCGUUGAACAUUAAUACUUAUAGAAAAAGGGAAUAUUUUUUGCAAUUUAUUUGCACCAAGAGUGGAAGCUGUUA